UACGAGAGGCCCAAACUUUAUUCGGAAUUACUGGGCUUAAAGAGUUCGUAGGCUGCGCAGAAAGUAGGGUGUGAAAGCCCUCGGCUCAACCGAGGAAUUGCGCUCUAAACUACUGUGCUUGAGGAAGCUAGAGGUGAGCAGAACAGAUGGUGGAGCGGUGAAAUGCGUUGAUAUCAUCUGGAAUACCGGAGGCGAAGGCGGCUCACUGGGGCUUUUCUGACGCUGAGGAACGAAAGCCAGGGUAGCGAACGGG
rnacentral:rRNA from 1 species